GGGGAAUAUUGCCCAAUGGGCGAAAGCCGGACGCAGCAACGCCGCGUGGGGGAGGAAGGUUCUCGGUUGGUAAACCUCGUUCAGAGGGGAGAAACCCGAACCGUGUAAACCACCGUUGCAUUGACGUUACCUUCAAAGGAAGACCCGCCUAACUCAGUGCCAGCAGCCGCGGUAAUACGGAGGGUGCAAGCGUUAAUCGGAAUUACUGGGCGUAAAGCGAACGUAGGCUGCUUUGUAAGUCAGGGGUGAAAUCCCACGGCUCAACCGUGGAACUGCCUUUGAUACUGCUUAGCUUGAAUCCGGGAGAGGGUGGCGGAAUUCCAGGUGUAGGAGUGAAAUCCGUAGAUAUCUGGAGGAACAUCAGUGGCGAAGGCGGCCACCUGGACCGGUAUUGACGCUGAGGUGCGAAAGCGUGGGGAGCAAACA
rnacentral:rRNA from 1 species